UACAGAGGGUGCAAGCGUUAAUCGGAAUUAUUGGGCGUAAAGCGCGCGCAGGUGGUGGAUUAAGUUGUGGGUAAAAGGCAAUGGCUCAACCAUUGUAAGCCUGCAAAACUGGUUCACUUGAGUGCAGGAGAGGGGAGUGGAAUUCCCGGUGUAGCGGUGGAAUGCGUAGAUAUCGUGAGGAACACCAGAGGCGAAGGCGGCUACCUGGACAAUUGCUGACGCUCAGGCACGAAAGCGUGGGGAGCAAAAGGG
rnacentral:rRNA from 1 species